UACGUAGGCAGCAAGCGUUGUUCGGAGUUACUGGGCGUAAAGGGUGUGUAGGCGGUUUCUUAAGUUUGGUGUGAAAUCUCCCGGCUCAACUGGGAGGGUGCGCCGAAUACUGAGGGACUAGAGUACGGGAGAGGAAAGUGGAAUUCCUGGUGUAGCGGUGAAAUGCGUAGAUAUCAGGAGGAACACCGGUGGUGUAGACGGCUUUCUGGACCGACACUGACGCUGAGACACGAAAGCGUGGGUAGCAAACAGG
rnacentral:rRNA from 1 species